AAGCUUCUUCCAUGCUCCACUUCUCCUCUCGCUGCCACAACGCGCCGUGCUGCUCUGCUCUUCUUCGCUCUCGCGCACGCACCGGCCGAGCUUGCCUACGCCGCCUGCCUGCGAGCGCUCGCCAGUCGCCACGCCCGCCAUGGCCAUGGCCGCCCCUCCACGCCGAGCCGCCGCUCGAGCCAGCGCCGACCCCCCACCAACCCCCAAAUCCGUUUGCUCUCGUCCCAACGCAGAUCCCAGGCCCGGCCAUCACCUCCACGCCUCGCCGGAACGCCGCCACAGCGGCACAGUACCGCCGCCGGCCGCCGGCCGCCGUGGAACCGCCGCCACGGACCACCUCCUCGCGCUCUAAGACCAUCCAGAGGUACGAUAGAUGAACCUCGUGAGGGAUGUGACAUUGAAGCCGAGCCACAAGACGGUGAAUGGUGGACCCAUCUAGAAGAUGGAUGGAUGGAUUCCGAUGUGCAUGACCGAAGGCAGGUGCUCGCCAAGCGAGUAUCAUCUAACUAACACUGACUCAGUGUUCAUCCCAGGCAA